GAGGCUUCAUAUCUUUGUUUUAUAAAAAGCUAAAACUAAGAUUUGAUAAUUUUAUGCUGUAUCAGUGAAGUCUAAAAAAGUUUGUUCCCCUCGCUAUCCAGAGCUGCCUUUUGUAUUGCAUUUGGACGUCGGGGAACUACAUUG
rfam:Populus trichocarpa scaffold_9_contig_104, whole genome shotgun sequence.